UUUUUUCUCAUAUGGAGUGGGGAGAGGAAGGGAACACCAAUAGAGAUCACAAGGUCCAGCCUGACUGACGUCUACUCCAUGCUCAGGAGCCAAGAACAACCUGGGGGCUGGCAGGAGGAAGGACCCUGCAGGCUGAACCUGGCCCCCUCCACAGACAGUAGCGAUGCGGUUUCACCAUGUUAUCCAGGAUGGUCUUGAUCUCCUGACCUCAUGAUCUGCCUGCCUCGGCCUCCCAAAGUGCUGGAUUACAGGCGUGAGCCACCGCGCCCGGCCAACACUGCCUCACUCUUAUGAGCAGCCCACCCUGAAUUCUCUCUCUCCCGAGGUGUACUGUCUACUCUGCACUUAACUUUCAAAAUAUUCUUUUUCCUUUGCAAUAAACUCCUCAAUGCUGCACCGUGU
rnacentral:lncRNA from 10 species